GUGUCAGUAGGUAAGUGGCUAAAACGGGCAGACUGUAAAUCUGUUGCUUCGGCUUCGGUGGUUCGAAUCCAUCCUGGCACA
rnacentral:tRNA from 1 species